rnacentral:rRNA from 1 species
AGGGAAUCAGCAUAAUUUUUUGUGGUGCAUUUACUUGAUUGGUGCUUGGGGAUGUUUGAGGCAGAUUUGUUUCCGUCGUUUUGAGGCCAGCUUGCUGGUACCCAAACGGUGUUAGCAUUUUUUGUCUUGGGCAUUUGAGUAUGGCUCACGUGUAUUUAUUGGACAGAUCUGAGUGUAAGUUACGGUCGCAUGCGACACGUGCUUUUCAAUUAGUUCGGUCCAGUUAAUGCUCUCGUACUCGUUCCCCAUGUAAAAGCCGGUCAUCUAUCCGACCCGUCUUGAAACACGGACCAAGGAGUUUAUCGUGUGCGCAAGUUUUUGGGUGUUAAAAACUUAAAAGCGAAAUGAAAGUAAAUGACUCUUUAGAGUCUGAUGUGCGAUCUUGUAAAAAAGUGUAGCAUGGCCCCAUUCUAACUGUUUACAGUAGGGUGGCGGAAGAGCGUACGCGGUGAGACCCGAAAGAUGGUGAACUAUUCCUGAGCAGGACGAAGCCAGAGGAAACUCUGGUGGAAGUCCGAAGCGGUUCUGACGUGCA